AGCUCCAAUAGCGUAUAUUAAAGUUGUUGCGGUUAACAAGCUCGUAGUUGGAUUUCUGCUGAGGACGACUGGUCCGCCCUCUGGGUGAGUAUCUGGCUUGGCCUCGGCAGUUUCUUAGAGAACGUAGCUGCACUUGACUGUGUGGUGCGGUAUUCAAGACCUUCACUUUGAGGAAAUUAGAGUGUUUCAUGCAGGCGCACGCCUUGAAUACAUUAGCAUGGAAUAAUAAGAUAGGACCUCUGUUCUAUUUUGUGAUCAAUAGGGAUAGUUGGGGGCAUUCGUAUUUAACUGUCAGAGGUGAAAUUCUUGGAUUUGUUAAAGACGGACUACUCCGAAAGCAUCUGCCAAGGAUGUUUCA
rnacentral:rRNA from 1 species